ACACACUGCAAAAAGGGAGGAGGAGGGUCGUACGAUGGUGGUGCUGGUGGUGACAUUUGAGUGAAAGGGAGAGACGGUAGAAGGGAGAGAUGGCAGGGAGAAAGAGUGAAGGAAGGGAGGAUAAGCACAACAUUGGGUACAGGAAAAAUAGAGUGAAAGGGAGAAAUGGGAGGGAGAAUAAGCGCAACAUUGGGUACAGGAAAAAUAUAGUGAAAGGGAGAGAUGGUAGAAGGGAGAAAUGGGAGGGAGGAAGAAUGAAGAAAGGGAGAAUAAGCUCAACAUUGGGUACAGUAGAAAUAUAAGAAAAGGAUAUAGAUGGAAAAGGAAUAAAAAAGGGAGAGAGAGAGUGGAAAGGAGAAGGGAGGAGGAAGAGAAGGAGAAUAACAGCAACAAAGGAGGUAAAGGAGGAAAGUAAAUAAGAGUACAGUGAAGAAAAUACAUAUAAAGGAGGAUAAAAAAGGAGACAGUAGGAGAAAGAAGGGAGAAGGAAGGAAGACAAAAAAAUAAAAAAAAUAAACAAAGAGGAAUGUAGAAAAUGAUAAAGGAUAUAGAUGGAAGAAGAUAAAGAGGAGGAAGAGAGGAGAGAAAAUAUAGGACAAAGAUAAAAAAGGAAAGACAGAAGGAGAGAGAAGGGAGAAGGAAGACAAUGAGAUAAAAAAAGAAAACAAGAGGAACGUAAAAAAUGAUAAAUGACGUAAAUGGAAGAAGAUAAAAAGGAGGAAGAGGAGAGAAAAGAUAGGACAAAAAUAAAGAAGGAAAGACAGAAGGAGAAAGAAAGGAGAAUAAACGAAGACAAUAAGAUAAAAAAAGAAAACAAAGAGGAAUGUAGAAAAUGAUAAAGGAUGUAGAUGGAAGAAGAUAAAAAGGAGGAAGAGAGGAGAGAAAAGAUAGGACAAAGAUAAAACAUGGAAAAGAAAGGAAGAUAAUUAGAUAAAAAAAAGAAAACAAAAAGAAAUGUAGAAAAUGAUAAAUGACACAGACGGAAGAAUAUAAAAGGAGGAAGAGAGGAGAGUAAAGAUAGGACAAAGAUACAGUAUACAUAAAAAAUAAAGAAAAGGCAUGAAUAGAGAGAUACAGAAGGGAAUCACACAUUAAAAAAGGAAACUACAACAGCUGUUAAUCAAGAAAAAGAAAAUUGCCAACAAGUCCUUCAUCAAAUCAUUAUUAUUUCUAUACAUAUCAAUUAGUUCAAGGCUGUAAAGAACCAGACUGUUAGAGGAAAUAAAUGAACACACACACACACACACACACACACACACACACACACACACACACACAAACGCACAUACGCUAAAAGCCGCACAAACAAAAUACGUACAUGCAAAAAAUCGAGGCAAACAAAACAAAGAAAGGUCUAAAAAAAGGAUAAUUUAAGAUAGAAAAAGCAAAAAAUCAAGCAAAAUAAAGAAAACAGAAACAAUUAGUCCUUUUAAAAACAACAUGGCAACUCCCAAAAAGAAAAGAAAAAAGAAAGAAAAAGAAAAGAGAAGUGAACAAAAUGAUGAUAAAUGAGAAAGAAAAUAUGAUAGUAUUGUAAAAAGACUCAUUAUGGAAAAAAAAAUGUUACCAUAUAAGUGUAAAAAAGUGUUCCCAUAUAAGUGUAAAAAAAGUGUUCCCAUAUAAGUGUAAAUUGAUGAUGUAAUAAAGAAUGAGUGAAUAAAAAAUGGAAAAUGCAAAACACGAAUAGAGAAAUGAAGUAGAGAGAGAGAGAGAGAGAGAGAGAGAGAGAGAGAGAGAGAGAGAGAGAGAGAGAGAGAGAGA